GGCGCCUUACAGGGCAAAGAGGCCAGAGGAGGUGGACUCGGAGGCCUGGACUUUCGUUGUCACCGAGGGCGGUGACACCACCAACGCCUCCCUGGUCCUGAGCCGGUGGAAGGUGCAGUUGGGUCGCUACCAGGGCAGAACCUUCCACUGGCUUUUGGAGAACGACGUGGGCUACAGCGUCAAUCUGGUCGCCUCCCACCAGAAAGAGCGCCAGAGGACGGAGGCUCAGUCCCCGCUGAUGGCCAACGAGGACCCCUUCACCCGCUACUCCUCCACCUACAAGGACUUUGUGGAGACAGUCAGGUUCCACCGGGCAUUUGAGGAGGCGCGGGCAAAUUCCCUCCAGCCCGGUCAGCAGGGACGGGCCCUUGUUGGCUUCGGGGACUUUAAGUUUGAGUCCCUGGAGAGCCUUUACGAGGCAACGGACAACAAAAAGAUCCGUUUUGUCAAAUACCUCCGGAGGACGUCACCAGCUCCAGGGACGCAGAUGGAGAACGCCGUCCAGUAUGUGCGCAACAGAGACAGACAGAGGAUGAAAGCUGCUGCUGGAGCAUCUACCUCCUCCACCGCCUCCAGCAGCAGCGCAGCCUCUGCAUCGCCCGCAACCCUGAGAGCCAGGAGUGCAUCACAAGUGCUUUUUGUAAUGUUGUCUCAAUUAUUGUUGCGUGUCAUUUAUCGUGUGUCAUAAUAGGCCUCUUGGUCCAGCGCUUGUGGUGUUUGUCUCUAUCUGCUGUGGAGAUGCAGGCCCAGGUGAAGAAGCUGGUGGCCCCUAAGCCUGCAUCUACAGCCCCCCACUUCAGCCCCUUCCGACCAGCUCUGUCCUCCCCCCGGUCAUCUGUGGAGACUUGAGAUGAAGAGCUGGUCACGGAGGUAGUUGACUUGGAGACAGACGUAGGACGAAAGCAGAUGACUGGCCCCUCUUUUACUCCUGCCACCACCCGCUGCGAUCGUCGCCACCUCCUCUUCCUCGGCAGCACCUCCUCCUCCAGGAGCUGGUGUCUCUGCUCUGCUGGACAAGCCCACAGACGAGGAGCUGCUGGAAGCCUCGCAGGAGAUAGACGCCCUGAUGGAACUUCCUACAGCCCUUGUCGUGGUUCAGCCUGCAGGGACACCGGCUCCCUUGCCUCCAGCCGCCGUCUGCACCCGUCGCCAUGGAGGAACAGGAGGAGUUGCCCGGUCCAGGCUUCCUCCCUCCCCCUCCAUCUUCUGUCAGUGAGUUGCUGCCUCAGUCCUGGAGGGCAGCUCUCACUGUGGAGCGGCAGCAGUGGAUCGGAUGGGUGCUGUUUACCAGGGACAGCCAGUGGAGGCCUUGGCUCGUCGGUGAGCUCAACCUCUGUUGGCACCCCCCCAAUCCCGGCCGGUCUACAACCAGCCUUCCGCAUCCCCCGACCCCUUCUUCACAUGUCGGCUGUUCCUCUGGAUGCCACACCGGAUUUGCAGCUGACAUGCCCCUAGCCAUUGUGCACUGGGUCCUUGAUCAAGGCUGGGCUGUACAGGACCAUCCGGAGGGUCCUGGACAUCGACGGCUGGUACCUCAUGGGCACAGAGUACCUGGAGUGCCGUCGAUGUAAGAAGCACGUCGGAGGGUGGUCACAGGGCAUCAUCAGGCAGCUGUCCCCCACCCAUAGCUGCCAGUUCCCAGCUGUACUCACGUACAAGCUGUCCUGUGACAUGAGGGUGGUGAUACAGCUGAGGUCCCGCACUCUGCGCAACAGUGCCAACCAGCUGUACAACACCCUGCGGGAGCAGCACUCGGACACCUGGAUGCGGAGAGCGAUCCAGUACCUCAGCGUGUGCGAGCGAUUCCUGGCCUUGGGCUCGGCAAGGGGGCAGAUUCCACCUCUGCCAUCCCCCGUCUGGCUGCUGACUGUAUACAGCUACGACGUCCUGGCGCGGCUGGAAGAGUACAAGGCCAGGAUCACGUCCACCUUAGGGUCCAUCUUAAAGAUGGAUUCCACCAAGGCGGCGAGUGCAGUCUGUCAGUUUCUUUUCCUUCCAGCUGCUGUGUGUUUCUCACAUUAACUCUCAGAAUCUCUCUGCUCGUGGGUAUCUCCUCCGACACGGCCGCCUGGGCAACCAACGUCGGCAAUGAGCACGGGCAGGUCUUCAUGAGCGUCCUCACUUGCACCGAGAGCGCUGGGGGCCUGUCCAGGAUGGCGGCGGGCUUGAUGAGGCAGUACCGACUGGCUGGGGCGACGCUUCCCAUCAGGUGUCGACACCGAGAGCCACGAGCUGUACCCCGCCUUCAUGGGGAAGCUGUCUCACUGCAUCUUCUACGCCGGAGAUGCACGCCAUCUCGCAGAGGCUAAGCGGUCCCGGCUGGAGGGGAAGCACGGGAUGGUUGGACUGACCGACGCUGCGGUGAUCCAGAGGAUCUCCAGGGAGGAGUGGAGGCUCCACUGCCGUUGCAGGACACGUGGGCCUGAGGAAUCGGCCCUCCUCGACACCUUCGGUGGACCGGCAGGACGCAACAACCUGGGCAUCCCGUUGCUCAACAGUCUCCGCUUCCAGGACAUAUGGAGUACGCAGAGGACCCACCUCAGCUGCAUCCAGGACCUGCCAGUGCCAAGCACUUACAGGCGUUCCUGGUGAAUGGACUGGUGAGGUGGAGCGAGGACCGCGCAGCAGCAGCUGCACCACCACCGGCUGCAGAUGAGGGACGGCUGGGACCUCUGCACUCCUACAGUGGCCACCUCAAGCACGUUGUUAACCAGAAGAGCCAAAGAGUGCUUGGUCUUCAGGUGGUUAAGGACUUCACCGAGCUGGCUAAGUACACAGGGGAGCACAUCGGAGUUGAGUACCUGUACCAGCAGAAAGGCAAAGUGCUUGAGGACGUCAGCCUGGACCCUGACACUCCGGACGAGGCUCCUACCAUCGAGGCGCUGGAGGAGGACGAGGGCAUCGAGGAAGACUUAGCGGACCCUACAGUCUUCGGGCCCGAUACUCCAUCCUCCAGCGUGGCAGCAUCUCGGUCAGGAGAACAUCCAGGGUCCUGAUGGCCUGGGUACCAGCACGUCCUGAACCUGGCCUAGGCGCUGGUGGAAGGGAGGAACCUUCUGGGGCUGCCUGAGAGUAGAACGACUCAUCCUGCUUUGGACUCGCUUGGCGGAGCAGGACAAGCGGCGAGUCAACUACCCUCCCAGAUACCGGGAGAGGCAACCAAAGAGCCGGUUCAAGGCAGCGAAGGGGAAGAACACCUCCUGUGCUGGAAAGGAGAGUCUCCAACGCUGCCUCCUCGGGGUCAACUCAGGGCCUUCCACCUGGCCAGUGCCAGCCGCCUGGUGGAGGCCACCAGAACUAAUAACUACCCCACCAUACACAAGCACUCACAUACACACAACCAGAGUGACACCCCCCCCCCCCCCGG
ensembl:lncRNA